rnacentral:lncRNA from 1 species
CUGAUCCCAGGAUGACUCUUACCCUCAAAAGGCAGGAAACUGGGAGCUUUUAAGGUGAAUUCUUUUAGUACUAAAAAAACUAUAGCUAAUUGUCUCUUCCUUUCUCAGGAACCUCCCUUUGAAAGGCCGUAUCUGCUUGAAAGUCAUUUUCCCAGGGUGCUAUAUGCAGCAAAGAUCAGGGAGAAAGACCCUGUUCCUGUCUCCCAAAUCUUGGU